UUGAUGCGACAAACCAUGUUCAGGUUGAUGUUUAAUUAAAGUUCCAUCACUGGGCAAUGUUUGUCGCAUGAA
rnacentral:pre_miRNA from 1 species